rnacentral:rRNA from 1 species
ACCCGCUGAAUUUAAGCAUAUCAAUAAGCGGAGGAAAAGAAACCAACAGGGAUUGCCUCAGUAACGGCGAGUGAAGCGGCAACAGCUCAAAUUUGAAAUCUGGCCUCACGGUCCGAGUUGUAAUUUGUAGAGGAUGCUUUUGGCGAGGUGCUUUCCGAGUUCCCUGGAACGGGACGCCAUAGAGGGUGAGAGCCCCGUACGGUAAGACCACCGAGCCUCUGUAAAGCUCCUUCGACGAGUCGAGUAGUUUGGGAAUGCUGCUCUAAAUGGGAGGUGUACGUCUUCUAAAGCUAAAUACCGGCCAGAGACCGAUAGCGCACAAGUAGAGUGAUCGAAAGAUGAAAAGCACUUUGAAAAGAGGGUUAAAAAGUACGUGAAAUUGUUGAAAGGGAAGCAUUCAUGACCAGACUUGGGCUUGGUUGAACAUCCAGCGUUCUCGCCGGUGCACUCUGCCAGUCCAGGCCAGCAUCAGUUUGCCCCGGGGGACAAAGGCGGUGGGAAUGUGGCUCUCUUCGGGGAGUGUUAUAGCCCGCCGUGUAAUGCCCUGGGGCGGACUGAGGAACGCGCUUCGGCACGGAUGCUGGCGUAAUGGUCAUCAAUGACCCGUCUUGAAACACGGACCAAGGAG